GGGGAUUUAGCUCAGUGGUUCUGGCACCUGCCUCACAAGCUGAGGACCCAAGUUCGAACCCUGGUACCCCCC
rnacentral:tRNA from 1 species